rnacentral:rRNA from 2 species
UGACCUCAAAUCAGGUAGAC